AGGUAAGCUACUAAGAGCGAAUGGUGGAUGCCUUGACUGGUAAAGGCGAUGAAGGACGUACUAGACUGCGAUAAGCUACGGGGAGCUGUCAAGAAGCUUUGAUCCGUAGAUUUCCGAAUGGGGCAACCCAAUGUAUAGAGAUAUACAUUACCUAUAUAGGAGCGAACGAGGGGAAUUGAAACAUCUUAGUACCCUCAGGAAAAGAAAUCAAUAGAGAUUGCGUCAGUAGCGGCGAGCGAAAGCGCAAGAGGGCAAACCCAGUGCUUGCACUGGGGGUUGUAGGACUGCAAUGUGCAAGAGGUAAGUUUAGCAGAACAUUCUGGAAAGUAUAACCAUAGAGGGUGAUAGUCCCGUAUGCGAAAAACAAACCUUAGCUAGCAGUAUCCUGAGUAGGGCGGGACACGAGGAAUCCUGUCUGAAUCCGGGUCGACCACGAUCCAACCCUAAAUACUAAUACCAGAUCGAUAGUGCACAAGUACCGUGAGGGAAAGGUGAAAAGAACUGAGGUGAUCAGAGUGAAAUAGAACCUGAAACCAUUUGCUUACAAUCAUUCAGAGCCCUAUGUAGCAAUACAGGGUGAUGGACUGCCUUUUGCAUAAUGAGCCUGCGAGUUGUGGUGUCUGGCAAGGUUAAGCAAACGCGAAGCCGUAGCGAAAGCGAGUCUGAAUAGGGCGCUUAGUCAGAUGCUGCAGACCCGAAACGAAGUGAUCUAUCCAUGAGCAAGUUGAAGCUAGUGUAAGAACUAGUGGAGGACUGAACCCAUAGGCGUUGAAAAGCCCCGGGAUGACUUGUGGAUAGGGGUGAAAGGCCAAUCAAACUUCGUGAUAGCUGGUUCUCUCCGAAAUAUAUUUAGGUAUAGCGUUGUGUCGUAAUAUAAGGGGGUAGAGCACUGAAUGGGCUAGGGCAUACACCAAUGUACCAAACCCUAUCAAACUCCGAAUACCUUAUAUGUAAUCACAGCAGUCAGGCGGCGAGUGAUAAAAUCCGUCGUCAAGAGGGAAACAACCCAGACUACCAGCUAAGGUCCCUAAAUCUUACUUAAGUGGAAAACGAUGUGAAGUUACUUAAACAACCAGGAGGUUGGCUUAGAAGCAGCCAUCCUUUAAAGAAAGCGUAAUAGCUCACUGGUCUAGUGAUUUUGCGCGGAAAAUAUAACGGGGCUAAAGUAAGUACCGAAGCUGUAGACUUAGUUUACUAAGUGGUAGGAGAGCGUUCUAUUUGCGUCGAAGGUAUACCGGUAAGGAGUGCUGGAGCGAAUAGAAGUGAGCAUGCAGGCAUGAGUAGCGAUAAUUAAUGUGAGAAUCAUUAACGCCGUAAACCCAAGGUUUCCUACGCGAUGCUCGUCAUCGUAGGGUUAGUCGGGUCCUAAGUCGAGUCCGAAAGGGGUAGACGAUGGCAAAUUGGUUAAUAUUCCAAUACCAACAUUAGUGUGCGAUGGAAGGACGCUUAGGGCUAAGGGGGCUAGCGGAUGGAAGUGCUAGUCUAAGGUCGUAGGAGGUUAUACAGGCAAAUCCGUAUAACAAUACUCCGAGAACUGAAAGGCUUUUUGAAGUCUUCGGAUGGAUAGAAGAACCCCUGAUGCCGUCGAGCCAAGAAAAGUUUCUAAGUUUAGCUAAUGUUGCCCGUACCGUAAACCGACACAGGUGGGUGGGAUGAGUAUUCUAAGGCGCGUGGAAGAACUCUCUUUAAGGAACUCUGCAAAAUAGCACCGUAUCUUCGGUAUAAGGUGUGGUUAGCUUUGUAUUAGGAUUUACUCCGAAAGCAAGGAA
rnacentral:rRNA from 1 species